AACGAACGCUGGCGGCAUGCCUAACACAUGCAAGUCGAACGAAGUCUUCGGACUUAGUGGCGCACGGGUGCGUAACGCGUGGGAAUCUGCCCUUGGGUGCGGAAUAACUUCUCGAAAGGGAUGCUAAUACCGCAUAAUGUCGUAAGACCAAAGAUUUAUCGCCCAAGGAUGAGCCCGCGUAAGAUUAGCUAGUUGGUGGGGUAAAAGCCUACCAAGGCGACGAUCUUUAGCUGGUCUGAGAGGAUGAUCAGCCACACUGGGACUGAGACACGGCCCAGACUCCUACGGGAGGCAGCAGUGGGGAAUAUUGGACAAUGGGCGAAAGCCUGAUCCAGCAAUGCCGCGUGAGUGAUGAAGGCCCUAGGGUUGUAAA
rnacentral:rRNA from 1 species